CAGGGAGAGCUUCCCAUAGUUGGUGG
rnacentral:piRNA from 1 species